ACAUUUAGAUGUAGUGUUGAGAUACAUGGUUUAGUGGGGUUAUUGGUGGUAGGUGGAUGGUUGGACUGGAUGAUCUUGUAGGUCUUUUCCAACCUAGCUAAUUCUGUGAUUCUAUGAUUCUUGAUGUUUUAGUGGUGUAUAGCCAUAAAAUAUUUGGUCUCAUUAAUAUGUUCUAUUAUUUAGAAGAUGGUAGCAUCAUUCAGUAGAUUGAUUUGACAAAACAGGUAGUUUGAUGAACACACGAAGCUAACUGAGUCUGCUUUUUAAGGGAUUUGUAACUUGCUGUUGACUUUAAUGGAUGUAACUGAAGGCUGAAGCAUAAAUUUCUCCUUUAUGAAAGACCAGAGAAAUGACAUGGGAAAGAGACAUAUGAAUUCCCUCAGCAUGUGAAAAUCUUGACCCAGAAUCUGUGAUGAGGAUCAAUUGACCUAGAUAGCAUGCUUAGCAAUUUAAAAAAGUCUACUUCCUUCAUUUAUAAAUUGCAGGGGAUUUUCCCGUUCAAAUUAUUAAAAUAGAAGUUUGUAUCAUUGUUGUUCUUGAGACUGUCUUGUAUCAUCACUGUACUGAAGAUCCCCCCACAGAAAACAAAGGGAGAUGGAGAAAGAGGGACAGAUGGGCAAGGUUACUGUUAAUGGCUUACCCAGGUCAUGCAGAGGGCUUUUACCAGAGUGGGGAGUUCAAUGGAGACUUCUGAUCCCAGGAUGCUGAGUGAGCCUUUCUUUCUGAGGUUUAAGUAGGGUGAAGUGACAGAGAAUGUGCAUCAUCAUUUCAAGCAUGCAAAAUGCAUGACCAUGCUCAGUGUAUUAUGCCUGCUGAAUCCUUCCAUUCUGUUGCAUUUAGUCUGGAGAAAAGGAGGCUGAGAGGAUAUCCCAUUGCUAUCUAGAACUACCUGGAAGGAGGCUGUGGGGAGAUGAGUCUCUUUCCUCAGGGAACAAGUGACAGGACGUGAGGAAAUGGCCUCAGGUAUACAUGGGAUACCAGGGAGAACUUCUUCUCAAAAAGCCCAUUAGAAUGGGCUGCUCAGGGAGGUGGAGGAGUCACCAUCUCUGGAGGUAUGUAAGAGACAUAGUUUAGCAGUGGAAUUCUCAAUGUUAGGCUGCUAGUUGGACUCAGUGAUCUUAAGAGGCUUUUCCAUCCUAAAUGAUUCUAUGAUUCUAUGAUUUUGGGGUCUCCCUUAGCUGCUUCUGAAAGGCAGCAACUCUUGAACUACCUGCCAUUUGUAACUAGCUAUGUGAGCACUCUACUCUGCUUCAGGGCAAAGUCAAAAAGGAAAGCUUAAAUUCUGUAUAAAAUAUGACUGUGUAAUGUGUUGACUUACUGUGUGCACACUUGUAGUCUCUUUUCCUGUAACUUCUGUCAUGAUGAAGAUGUGCAGAAAUCUUCUCUAUAUAAGUUUAAUACAGGCUAGGGCAGGGAGACAGUCCUGGCUCUUCAGAACCUAGGUGAAUGAACAGCUUAAUUUGUUCUCUGAAAUAAUUUGUAAACAUAUAAAUUGCGUUACCAUCUUAACAAGUUUCACUAGCUGUUGUCACAGUCUCAGCAUUGUAGAUCAGAACAUCCUGGAUACUCUGCUUGUACGUUUACCAAAGCAAGACACCCAAGCAUAUGCCAAACUGUUCCUGGAAGACUGAAAUGCAGGAUGAGGGAUGUAAUCCUCCAAGAACUUUCAGGAUUCUGUGAAGAAGCAGUUGAAGGAGGCAAGCCAAGAGACUUGGGGACCUAAUCCUGCCAUCUUUUGCACUUAAGUGCCUUCAUCCAAGGUCUCCUGUUGCAGAGUAGCUUCAUUCCGUUGAAGCAUCAAAAAAAGUCUUCCAUGAAAUUGAGAAUGACAAGGUUUCUGAGAUACUGAAAGCAAACUUGUUUAUGGAUUUUCAAGUCACAUGUUGCCUAUCACUUGCAGCAUGUGGAAAAUUAUCUGAAGUGGAAAUGAAACCAUGCUUUACUGAGAUGACAUGCUACUUCGCCAUCAAUAAUCUCAGUGGGAAAGCAAAUACUAGGCCUACUGGCUACCAGUGACUAUUUCCUGCUUUUUCUCAUAAACAGGUACCAUCGAUGUCCUAACAGCACAUGUAAUGAAACUGUGCAUAGUUUUGUUGUGUUUUUAUCUUUGUCUGAUUUAGACUGUGAACCAUAUGUAAGAUUUGGAAAGAAAAAUUCCCCUUUCUCUAUAAGAAGCCCUGACAUGUGGCACUCAUUUAGGCAAAGAAUUCAUGCAGACACUUGGAGAGGUCCUUAUGAUUUUUCAUUUCUGUUAUGAAAUAUGCCAUUUUUGUUAAGCAAUCUCAUGCCUGGAGAAUCUCCUUCUUAUUUGUCUAACUUAGUCCUUUCCAAGGUGAAGACAUCUUUCUCCAGUGUACGUGAAGAAAGGAGACAUUCAUGGCUGAAUGAGGUGUAAGGAACAUGGGACAAAUGUAUUUUACUCAGCGAAGAAAUUAAAAAAAUCAUAUUCCAUUCUGCAAAAAUGACCCACCCUAUCAGGUAUUAAGUGUGAAAUUAUUUUUCCUCUCUCCCAUUUUCUUCACCUCCACCCCCUGAAACUUCUAGUUCCAGACCAUUAAAAAAACAGUUCAUGCUUCACGGAAAUCCAGAGGAAAAAAAGAAAAGGGAAAAAAAAGGAAAUGUUAGGGAGGUCACCAACAUAACCCACUUAUACCCAAGAAUGUAAACACAAAAAGAAACAUUUUGCUCUGCAAAACAGUCCUUUUGGUCACUCCUUCUUCAGAACGAAUUGUGUUUUUUAAAAAAUUAUUCUUUUUCUAAACAAAAUAAAGGUUUUAAACCAAACGCUUAUUAGACUGGCAUGGUUGCUCAGCUCAUUAAGAGCUAUACCAAAAAUAACAGAAGACAACCUCAUCAUGGAGUAAUGAAAUCCAAUUGAAACUGUUACUUUUGGCAUUUCACUUAAUCUCUUAUGCAUACAUGUGAUGUCAAAGUUUCUGGAUUUGAGAAAAAAUGUAUUUUUUUUUCUACCUUUUUGGGUACAGCCUCUGUGUUCUAACAUGCAUGUUUAUGCAUCAUGUCCUUAAGUCUUUCCGAUGUAAUUUUAGGAACAAGUGUUGCAUGUGGGUUACUAAUUGGAAAAGCAUGAAACUGGAUUUUGCAACAUUAUGUAUUGAGGAAAAGACUAUCCCACAGAUUAAAAAACCUUCUGCCACUUCUUAUUUUCCCAGCCUAGAGCCUUACGGCUUGGAGCCUCCCUCUCUGGUUACCAGUGGGUCUUCUGGCAUGCAAAAGCCAGGUUGGCGUGGAUGCCAAGGGGCAGCUGGAUCUGGGUCUGGGAGUUCACGGUCUUCCUGCAGGUGUCUUGAAUUUAGCUAAUGGAUGCUAUCUGCUUUCUGGCUGGUGGCUCCACAGCCCUUAGAAAUGCCGAAACCUGAGUAUGUCAUUUUAAGGUGGUGUUUCCAAGAUGAGGUGUCUUGUUCCUGCCACAAUCUGACAGCUCCCUACUACUGUGUGCAGGAACCAGCUGCCCACUUGCAAGGCAGAGACUGUGCAUGCAGCAUCAAAAGAUGAGCUACAUUCAUGGUUUUGGCUAUGGCCACUAGUUUCUUCAAACUUCUCACAAUUUUUAGCAGUGUUUGGCCUCUUAGCCUUCUGAAUUGUGUUAAUCAACCUAUGGAUUGUGGUUCUGGGGGUGUGUUGUAGAAAUGCCAAAAUCCAAAUCUAUGCUGUCCUUAAUGUGGGGUCUCUUUUAGGUUUUACAGCACUUUCUUUUCUUCUUCUUUUUUUUUGGUAUAAGACAGCACGUGACCCUCAACUGAGAACAGACAAUUCAGUGAUCAAAUCUAAUGAUGUGUUAAUUUAGCUUUCUGCUAUGAUAGCAAAUUGCCAAAGACAGCUUUAUAAAAGUGUAGCAUCAUCUUAGGACUACUAACUGAUUAGGUUUCAUGAAGUCAGUUGUUUAUGCAAACCCAGAAAACAUGGUGUUAUCUACAGAUUCUAUUGAAAAGAUUUUUG